AACACUUUAUUCUUACGCAGGAAAUGAAAUCAAUUGAAGGAUGAAAUCGUACCCGACUCGUGUUGUGCGGUUCAGAAGACGAAGUGUGUCAUGGCCAAUGAUGCGUUGACGAUGAUUGAAAAUGGAGCGAAGCGUCUCGAUUCUGAAAAGAGGCGGUUAUGGAGGAUUGAAGGUUGUUAGAGUUUGUUACGGUGGUGGAAGGGAAUAAUGGAAAAGAGGAAAAAGAAAUCGGGGAAGAGAGGAAAGAGAUUGGAGAGAGAAGAAGAAGAGGCAUGAAAAUUCGCCGACUUGCGUAUUUAUAUUGAUUUGUAGGUGUGCUCUUGGCUUGUGCAGUUGAUGCAGCUUGUGAAUGAGCUUUUAUGCAGCUACGGCUUGGUUUGUGCUUGCAUUAGCUUACGUUUUCUUUGGAUCUCUCUUGGAAGUAGUCUUCGGUAAUGGAUUUUAUGGCUUGUGUUACCGUAGCCUCAAUUUCCACUGGCUUGGCUGCACUAUUUUCGCUGGCUUUGAGCUUGGAUUUCAUGCUGAGUUGCUACAGCUUUUGGAAGUGUGUUUGUCUUGACUUCGCUUUCAUGCUGUGUUUCAUGGCUUUGCAGCUUACGCUUGGCUCAGCGUUCCAGCUUUUGUUUAGUAGCUUUUGAACGUCGGCUUUGUAACUGCUGUUUUGAUUUGAGUUCCACUUUGCAGUUUGGUCGUUGCUUACUGUAGCUGCGUUUUGUUUGGAAGCCAACAUUUGGAUGCACCUUUGGCUUGCUUUUACAUUUUGGACGUGUAGCUGUUGGGUUUUUUGGAUUAUGCAGCUUCUGGAUAGCAGCUCCAAGCUGCAUUUCGCUUUUUCUGUUAUAGCUGCAAUGUUUAGCAACUUAUUUCCCUUUUCUUUUGGUUGCAGUCCCGUUGUACCUUCAUGUUUUAGAAUUGGCAUUUGGUAAAUGGAUAUGUGAGGGGUUAGAUAUGCAUGACGUAUGCAGUAUGCUAAUGCAAUACAAUUGAUUAUUUUUCAUCUUU